AAACUGUGGUGGCGCAGGUCCAGGGUUUGCUGUGGCAGCACGCAAUGCUCAGGCCCACCAGGAGCUGAAUGAAUUCCUGGAGGACCUUGAGUUCGAGGCUGCGGUGCAGCAGGCAGAACUGGCCAUUAAGCACGUCAUCUUUCCCAAGCCCCAUCUACCAGGGCUCCAGCAGAAGCUACUUGUCAAGGACCCUCACGGGGUCUUCAAAUCCAACAAUGAAGAGCCCCUAUGGGCAACUUAAUCCUAAGUGGAUCAAGUGGUUGCAGAAGCUGUGCCAUCCCUGCUGUUUUGGCCAUGGUGCAUACCUUGUCCUCAACCAGGGUUACCUCUCAGAGGCAGAGGGUGACCUGGUGGACUGAAAACUAGAAUGCAACAUUGUACUCCUCACAAAGGUAGUAUACCUGGCCAAUAAGACAUUCAACUAUAGAGCCAUUGACAGAGUGAUGUCCAGGGGCAAGCAGCUUAUGCUAGAGAAAGUGUCAAAAGUUGGGCAGUGGUUUAACCCCAUCAGGCAACCCACCAAAGCUUGGCUCAUUCCAGCUUUUUGUUGAAGGCUAUAAAGGUGCAGACUAUUGGGUGUGGCGUUUUGAAGCAGAACUGCUUCCUGAGAACAUUAACCAGCAACUGAUCCUGCAGUUCCAGCCGCUGGUGGUGCUGGAUCACAUCAUCUGCGACACUGACAGAGACAAUGACAACUGGUAAAUGUGACUGUCCAAAGGAUAGCUCUAGCUUUCAGCACACAGACUGGGUGAUGGUGAAGGAGCCUGUUAUCAAGGUGUCUGCCAUAGACAAUGGGCUGGCCUUCCCACAAAAGCAGCCUGACUCCUAGAGGGAAUAUCCUUUGCACCGGGCCUGGUUGCCCCGGACAAAAGUCCCAUUCUCUUAGGAGUUCAAAGAUCUGAUCCUUCCAAAGAUAUCCAACCCAACUUCAAGGACUUGGAAGAGGACCUAUGUGAACUCUUCAGGAAAGCUCCUGGAAAAAAAAUCUGGUUUUGACAAGGACCAGUUUGAUAAGCAGAUUACUGUCAUGCUGGGUCAGAUCCUAAAUCUGACUCAGGCCUUGAAAGACAAGAGUCCCCUGCACCUUGUCCAGAUGCCACCUGUGGUUGUUGAGAUGAGAUGGCCCAUUCCCACCAGCGGUUUUCUAGCGAAUCCUACACACAGAGAUUUGAGUUUCAAAAGU
rnacentral:lncRNA from 1 species